rnacentral:rRNA from 1 species
AACUCAAAGGAAUUGACGGGGGCCCGCACAAGCGGUGGAGCAUGUGGUUUAAUUCGAUGCUACGCGAAGAACCUUACCAGGUCUUGACAUCUUCUGCCAACCUAAGAGAUUAGGCGUUCCCUUCGGGGACAGAAUGACAGGUGGUGCAUGGUUGUCGUCAGCUCGUGUCGUGAGAUGUUGGGUUAAGUCCCGCAACGAGCGCAACCCUUAUUGUUAGUUGCCAGCAUUCAGUUGGGCACUCUAGCAAGACUGCCGGUGACAAACCGGAGGAAGGUGGGGAUGACGUCAAAUCAUCAUGCCCCUUAUGACCUGGGCUACACACGUGCUACAAUGGACGGUACAACGAGUCGCGAAACCGCGAGGUCAAGCUAAUCUCUUAAAGCCGUUCUCAGUUCGGAUUGUAGGCUGCAACUCGCCUACAUGAAGUUGGAAUCGCUAGUAAUCGUGGAUCAGCAUGCCACGGUGAAUACGUUCCCGGGCCUUGUACACACCGCCCGUCACACCAUGAGAGUUUGUAACACCCAAAGCCGGUGAGGUAACCUUCGGGGACCAGCCGUCUAAGGUGGGACAGAUGAUUAGGGUGAAGUCGUAACAAGGUAA